rnacentral:rRNA from 1 species
GGGGAAUAUUGGACAAUGGACCGAGAGUCUGAUCCAGCAAUUCUGUGUGCACGAUGAAGUUUUUCGGAAUGUAAAGUGCUUUCAGUUGGGAAGAAAAAAAUGACGGUACCAACAGAAGAAGUGACGGCUAAAUACGUGCCAGCAGCCGCGGUAAUACGUAUGUCACGAGCGUUAUCCGGAUUUAUUGGGCGUAAAGCGCGUCUAGGUGGUUAUGUAAGUCUGAUGUGAAAAUGCAGGGCUCAACUCUGUAUUGCGUUGGAAACUGAAUAACUAGAGUACUGGAGAGGUAAGCGGAACUACAAGUGUAGAGGUGAAAUUCGUAGAUAUUUGUAGGAAUGCCGAUGGGGAAGCCAGCUUACUGGACAGAUACUGACGCUAAAGCGCGAAAGCGUGGGUAGCAAACAGGAUUAGAUACCCUGGUAGUCCACGCUGUAAACGAUGAUUACUAGGUGUUGGGGGUCGAACCUCAGCGCCCAAGCAAACGCGAUAAGUAAUCCGCCUGGGGAGUACGUACGCAAGUAUG